CAAAUAUUGAAGAAAGUGUUGUGCCUUCACAGAAUUUAAAUUGGCAUUAGGAAUAGAUUUCCUUGAUUUAGUAAUGAUAUUGCUCAUAGAAAUUGAUAAUGUGAAGAAUAACAAUACAGGAACAUAGAAUAACAAGAAAGAAAUUCUAGCAGCAAGUUAGGGACACAGUAAAAAGACAAAACAUUUAGACCCUUUGAAAGAGAAAUGUUUGCAAUGGAUAUUAAUAAAUUCUAGCCAAUUUGUAUGAUGUACAAUGCAGGCAAUAUUUCUGCCUCCUAACGCAAUAUUCGCGUAAAAGAAGAUGUGGGUAUUGUAUUUAUACCUAGGUAGUUAAUGAUACAUGGAAUAUAUUUCUAUAUUAUUGCAAUAACGAUGUCUUUAUGUUGUAUUUUUUUAGAACAGAUUUAUUAUUAGUUGGCUAGUGUGUUAGUAGGAUAGCCAUUGGUAGUUAUAAAGUCGUCAGGUAUUAAUAAUAGGAAUUGAUCAAAGCUUAUACAUUUAUUGUGAAUUUAAGUAGUUAGAGUUUUGGUUGUUUAAUAAACGAAUUAAUGUGCUUA